UUUUUUUUUUUCCAAAAAAAUUGAAUUAGUAAAUUUAUUAUAGCUUUGCUUCACAGAACAAACAUUAAGGUUAUAUUCCUGUCUAAUCCUUUCAUCAUUCUGUUGUCCUGUUUAUGAUUUUUUUUUGCAUUCUUUUCCACAUUAGAGCCAAAAAUCCGAAACCAAAGUAUAAUAUUACAGCUUUAAUUUUCCUUCAUUUUUAUGUUAAAUCUGUCUUUAAGAGAGUUUUAUGUUAUUUAUUCUUAAUGGAAAACGUAGUAAAGAUAACUUUUUUAUUUGCUUUUUUAAAGAAUUACAGUUUCUUUUUACUUUUAUACUGUCCUUAAUAAAUGUUUCUGCAAAUUAUUAGUCCUGUUCUCUGAUAUAUAAUUCCUGAGCAGACCCUUUAGGAGGCAUACAUGAGAGGCAAUAUAAGUUGGAUAAGCUACAGUAAGGGAUAUAUAACUCAGGAUUGUAGUUCUCCUUUGAAGAUGGAUUUAUGACUUAACCUUUGCUCACUUUUCCUUCAGUGAAAAGAUGGACAUGCAUUACCUUGUUUAUACUUUAUAGGAAUAUUUUAUAAAUGAAUAAACAUAUUUAUCAAUAAAUGUUUUGAGUUAUUUAAAGACACUGUAACCAUACCAUUUACUUAGUAAUAGCAAAAAUAGUGUGUUGUGUGACACUCCAGAUGUCAAGUAAUUAUUUGAAUUUAUUAUGUGUUCAAAAAUGGUCCAUGUUUCACUAGACUUGGACUAUGCUAUUAAAUCAUAGAAGUCUGUGUAUGUGUUAGGGAAAGGCAUGGGGAGAGAAAAGAAAAAGAGAAAACAUACCUUCACUGUGUCCCUUAUAAGUAUACAUUGUCAGGCAACCCUCCUACCAGGUCUAGGGGAUAUAUAUUAUCUCCAUGUUGUAGAGGAGGAAAAUAUAGCUGAAAGAGGCAAUAUAACUUGCCUGAAUCUUAUAAUCAAUAUGUGACUGAGCUAGGAUUUGAACUCAGCUACAAAACUCAGCUUUACAGGACACCACUUGGUUCCUCCUUUCAGAUUCCUGCUUUGGAAACAUGUUAGCAAUUAAAAUAGAAAAGGGCAGGGAUAUUAAUUAAAAUAUGUAAUUUAUAAUGUUAACCAAAUAGACUUUUUUUUUUUUUUAGCUUCCUUCAAUGUUUCCAUUACUGUUUUAGUUGAAGUUUUGGAUCAUUUCUUAAUUUAUCUUGCUGGUUUGUCCAAAUAUAGUUCCUGGACUUACAAAAAUAUACUUGCUAAAGAUGUGUUAAAGUGCAUGACGUACACUGCAAUUUCUCUACACAGUUAUUUAUGUGAUUAAAAUGGUCAUCUCAGAGAGUGCCUGAAGGUUGAUCUAGAGGAGGGUGAUGGAAGGAGGGGUGACUCAACAGAGUCAGGGAAAUUCCAGAUGACAUGGGUUGCCAGAUUUCCUGCUGGCCCUUCAUUGCCAAACUCCACCUCCUGCUCAUCUUACACAGCUGUGUGCUUCAUUAAAUAGUGAUGUCUACAAAUCACAGCAGUGUUAAAAAAUGCAGAGCUGGGGGAAUUCCUGUACACUGACUGCUGCCAAGUUCCUAGAGUUUUAACAGCACACUCAUCAAACUGCCUUUCUCUUCUCCAAAAACUGUAAAUAAGUCCAAUAUCAGGAGUGUUUUCAUCAAUUAUAAUGCCUCUCUGUUCUCUUGGAGAGUUUGAAAUAGUAUAUAGACACAUUGGUUACAGUGCCCAUGUCAAAGGCAAUAUGGUAGGAGUCAUCUGUUGUCAAAGAUAAGAUUUUCUGACCUUGAUAUUGCCAUUGUUCUUCUUGUUGAGCCAGGAACCAUUACUUAGUCAUUUAUAACAUAGAUUUUUCCCAUCCACAAUUUGCUUUUCAGAAACCAGCCUUGUGGAAUUUAGGCCAAGAACCUGGUUGCUACUAUUCAGAGGAGGUAUACGAGAGGUGUGCAUUUAAUUUAACAGUUGAUUUCAAGGGUUUAUGUGUGCAAGGUUCUGUGCUGGGUGAGGUAGACAAUGACAACAUGAAUAAGACAAGGCUGAUGUGAUGAGUGGUACACUAGAUUGUUAAAAGGUGCAACAGGAAGAUGGGAAAAAAUAUAAAUUUUAUCUGGAGGGUUGGAGACAUUUCAAGGAGGAAGUAACAUUGGCUCCAGGCUUUGACGAAGAGAGGGGCUUAAUAGAUAAAUCUGGAAGUGCUCCAGAUAGAGGAAAAAUGAAAACAAAUGGGUAGAGAAUGGAGAAAUUCAGUGAAUUGUCAGGAUAGUAUCUUGCCUUGUGUUGUCGUGGUACCAUUAUAACUGGCAGCCUGCAGUGCUCUGACAAUUUAAAAAUAUAACCUGUUUUCUUUCCUAUGGGAAUAAUGUCGCUGGUUAGGCCCAUACACUUUUUAUUAUCUUAUACUAGCUGGAUUCUUACAUUGAUGUUAUGUGCCUUGUAUGGGCUUGAGUAAGAAUAUGA